GAUGAACGCUGGCGGCGUGCCUAAUACAUGCAAGUCGAGCGAACAGACGAGGAGCUUACUCCUCUGACGUUAGCGGCGGACGGGUGAGUAACACGUGGAUAACCUACCUAUAAGACUGGGAUAACUUCGGGAAACCGGAGCUAAUACCGGAUAACAUGUUGAACCGCAUGGUUCAACAGUGAAAGACGGUCUUGCUGUCACUUAUAGAUGGAUCCGCGUCGCAUUAGCUAGUUGGUAAGGUAACGGCUUACCAAGGCAACGAUGCGUAGCCGACCUGAGAGGGUGAUCGGCCACACUGGAACUGAGACACGGUCCAGACUCCUACGGGAGGCAGCAGUAGGGAAUCUUCCGCAAUGGGCGAAAGCCUGACGGAGCAACGCCGCGUGAGUGAAGAAGGUCUUCGGAUCGUAAAACUCUGUUAUUAGGGAAGAACAAAUGUGUAAGUAACUAUGCACGUCUUGACGGUACCUAAUCAGAAAGUCACGGCUAACUACGUG
rnacentral:rRNA from 1 species